rnacentral:rRNA from 1 species
UCCGUAGGUGAACCUGCGGAGGGAUCAUUGAUGGAAUAAACGCCCUCACGGGCGCUACCCAUAAACCCUUUGUGAACACUACCUAAAAAUGUUGCCUCGGCAUUGGUUGGCCUCUUUGAGGUCCCUUCUCGCUAGGGAAGGAGCAGACCGGCCGGUGGCCCUAUAAACUCUUGUUUCUGUAACAUCAUCUGAGUAAAAACAACUAAAAUGAAUCAAAACUUUCAACAACGGAUCUCUUGGUUCUGGCAUCGAUGAAGAACGCAGCGAAAUGCGAUAAGUAAUGUGAAUUGCAGAAUUCAGUGAAUCAUCGAAUCUUUGAACGCACAUUGCGCCCGGUGGUAUUCCACCGGGCAUGCCUGUUCGAGCGUCAUUUCAACCCUCAAAGCCUUUGGCUUUGGUGUUGGAGGAAUACCCUGUAACAAGGGUACCCUCUCAAAUUUAGUGGCGGGCUCGCUAGAAUUUUGAGCGUAGUAAUUUUACCUCGUUUUUAAAGACUAGUGGGACUUCUUGCCGUAAAACCCCCCUUAACUUUCUGAAAAUUGACCUCGGAUCAGGUAGGAAUACCCGCUGAACUUAAGCAUAUCAAUAAGCGGAGGAA